rnacentral:tRNA from 1 species
GCACCCGUAGUCUAAUGGUUGGGUUAUCUGCCUUCCAAGCAGAUGGUCCGGGUUCAAUUCCCGGGCGGUGCA